rnacentral:rRNA from 1 species
UGAACGCUGGCGGCAGGCCUAACACAUGCAAGUCGAGCGGAUGAGAAGAGCUUGCUCUUCGAUUCAGCGGCGGACGGGUGAGUAAUACCUAGGAAUCUGCCUGGUAGUGGGGGACAACGUUUCGAAAGGAACGCUAAUACCGCAUACGUCCUACGGGAGAAAGCAGGGGACCUUCGGGCCUUGCGCUAUCAGAUGAGCCUAGGUCGGAUUAGCUAGUUGGUGAGGUAAUGGCUCACCAAGGCUACGAUCCGUAACUGGUCUGAGAGGAUGAUCAGUCACACUGGAACUGAGACACGGUCCAGACUCCUACGGGAGGCAGCAGUGGGGAAUAUUGGACAAUGGGCGAAAGCCUGAUCCAGCCAUGCCGCGUGUGUGAAGAAGGUCUUCGGAUUGUAAAGC